CACAAUUCUGAGCUAACCUCUGGAAAACAUCGAAAAUUUAUUCCCGUGGUGGAAGAAUUAAAACAUCAGAAAUCAAAAAAACCAAUUCAAAAAAGCAGGGAGGAUUUAGACAACAGCGACUAUGAACCUAUUUCAGAACUACUAGAAGGGGAACUUAGAAAAGACAAG